rnacentral:sRNA from 1 species
UUAUCACCAACAGUGUCAUUGGCCCCGGCUGCCACAUUGGUGAUAACGUGGUACUGGACCAGACCUACCUGUGGCAGGGUGUUCGAGUGGCGGCUGGAGCACAGAUCCAUCAGUCUCUGCUUUGUGACAAUGCUGAGGUCAAGGAACGAGUGACACUGAAACCACGCUGUGUCCUCACUUCCCAGGUGGUCGUGGGCCCAAACAUCACGCUGCCUGAGGGCUCGGUGAUCUCUUUGCAUGCUCCAGAUGCAGAGGAAGAUGAAGAUGAUGGCGAGUUCAGUGAUGACUCUGGGGCUGACCAAGAAAAGGACAAAGUGAAGAUGAAAGGUGUGAGACUUGACAGGUUACAAUCCAGCAGAAGUAGGAGCUGCUGGCAAGGGCUACCUCUGGAAAGCUGCAGGCAUGAACGUGGAGGAAGAGGAGGAACUGCAGCAGAAUCUGUGGGGACUCAAGAUCAACAUGGAAGAAGAGAGUGAAAGUGAAAGUGAGCAAAGUAUGGAUUCUGAGGAGCCGGACAGCCGGGGAGGCUCCCCUCAGAUGGAUGACAUCAAAG